AAGGUGGGGACUCUAAACAGACUGCCUGUGCAAACAGAGAGGAAGGAGGACGACGUCAAGUCAUCAUGGCCCGCGUCCGGGGCUACACGUGCUACAAUGGAUGGUACAGAGGGCAGCAAGCUGGUAACAGCAAGCAAAUCUCCAAAAGCCAUUCACAGUUCGGAUAGAGGUCUGCAACUCGACCUCUUGAAGUUGGAUUCGCUAGUAAUCGUAUAUCAGCAAUGAUACGGUGAAUACGUUCCGGGCCUUGUACACCGCCCGUCAAGCCAUGGAAGUUGGGGUACCUAAGUAUGUAACCGCAAGGGCGUCCUAGGUAAACCGAUAACUGGGGCUAAGUCGUAACAAGGUAGCCGUACCGGAAGGUGCGGCUGGAAUACCUCCU
rnacentral:rRNA from 1 species